AGCUCAAUAGGAUAAGAAAGCUUUAGAGUUGAACCGAGUACGGAUUGGUUAAUUGCUCGGUGUCUAAGGCAAGUGGUUAAAGAAAGUGAUUUUCAAUUGGUUCCGUUGACUGACCUGGCCAACUCAGUUGGUGUCUAAAGAAAGCAACGAGCAGGGAACCUCCCACAUCUUACGCUUACUUGGCCGAGUCAGUUAGUCAGUCUUGAGCUUGGAGUGCUCAAAGGCAGUCUUGAAAGUUAGGAGCUGUCUAGAUCUAAGUUAACCUUAGGAUAGAGAGUCCAUGCUCGUUUAAGUUGAUUGCAAUUAACAUCUAAAUAUUAACUAAUUUUUUUCUUUUC
rnacentral:lncRNA from 1 species